AACGAACGCUGGCGGCAUGCCUAAUACAUGCAAGUCGAACGAGAUCUUCGGAUCUAGUGGCGCACGGGUGCGUAACGCGUGGGAAUCUGCCCUUGGGUUCGGAAUAACUUCUGGAAACGGAAGCUAAUACCGGAUGAUGACGUAAGUCCAAAGAUUUAUCGCCCAAGGAUGAGCCCGCGUAGGAUUAGCUAGUUGGUGGGGUAAAGGCCCACCAAGGCGACGAUCCUUAGCUGGUCUGAGAGGAUGAUCAGCCACACUGGGACUGAGACACGGCCCAGACUCCUACGGGAGGCAGCAGUAGGGAAUAUUGGACAAUGGGCGAAAGCCUGAUCCAGCGAUGCCGCGUGAGUGAUGAAGGCCUUAGGGUUGUAAAGCUCUUUUACCCGGGAUGAUAAUGACAGUACCGGGAGAAUAAGCUCCGGCUAACUCCGUG
rnacentral:rRNA from 1 species